GACGGCACGGAACACACCGAACAGACUCGAGUCACCAACCUCGCCAGACUGUCAGACGGCCGAUUAUCAGGUUGGUGUGUCAGGACCAUUAUCAGGUUGGUGGGUCAGGACCAUUAUCAGGUUGGUGGGUCAGGACCAUUACCAGGUUGGUGUGUCAGGACCAUUAUCAGGUUGGUGUGUCAGGACCAUUAUCAGGACCAUUAUCAGGUUGGUGGGUCAGGACCAUUACCAGGUUGGUGUGUCAGGACCAUUAUCAGGACCAUUAUCAGGUUGGUGUGUCAGGACCAUUAUCAGGUUGGUGUGUCAGGACCAUUAUCAGGUUGGUGGGUCAGGACCAUUAUCAGGUUGGUGGGUCAGGACCAUUAUCAGGUUGGUGUGUCAGGACCAUUAUCAGGUUGGUGGGUCAGGACCAUUAUCAGGUUGGUAGGUCAGGGCCUUAAG